rnacentral:rRNA from 1 species
AACGAACGCUGGCGGCAUGCCUAACACAUGCAAGUCGAACGAGACCUUCGGGUCUAGUGGCGCACGGGUGCGUAACGCGUGGGAACCUGCCCUUAGGUUCGGAAUAACUCCCCGAAAGGGGUGCUAAUACCGGAUAAUGUCUUCGGACCAAAGAUUUAUCGCCUUUGGAUGGGCCCGCGUUGGAUUAGCUAGUUGGUAGGGUAAAAGCCUACCAAGGCGACGAUCCAUAGCUGGUCUGAGAGGAUGAUCAGCCACACUGGGACUGAGACACGGCCCAGACUCCUACGGGAGGCAGCAUGGGGAAAUUUUGGAAAAUGGGCAAAAGCCUGACCCAGCAAUGCCCGGUGGGUGAUGAAGGCCUUAGGUUUGUAAAGCUUUUUUCCCCGGGAUGAUAAUGACAGUACCGGGAGAAAAAGCCCCGGCUAACUCCGU